rnacentral:lncRNA from 1 species
UGGGUUUUGGACAGUUUUUUUUUUUUUUUUUUUUUUUUUUUUGAGACAGAUUUUCGCUCUGUUGCCCAGCUUCUUUACGCAUACUGUUUUAUCAGCAAGGUCUUUGUGACGUGUAUCUUGUGCCGACCUCCUAUCUCAUCCUGUGUCUAGGAACGCCUUAACCUCCUGGAAUGCAGCUCACAUGCCAGAAACUAUACAAUCCACCCCCUUUGAAGGAGUUUGUUCAUUUAAAAAAAAAAAAAAAGGGAAAUUUGGGUGCAGACAGGCACACAAGGAGAACACCAAGUCAACACGAAGGCAGAAGUUGGAGUGAUGAGUCUACAAGCCAAGGAUUGCCAGCAAUUAAUCAGAGGCCAGGACAGCAACCUGGGGCAGCCCUCUACAUGGUACCAACUCCAUCAACACCUUGAUCUCAGACUUCCAACCUCCAGAACUAUAUCACAGUCUGGAAGUCUGCUCACAGUCUUAAGGUUGGCAUAUCCCCUAGAGCCCCCAGACUCCUCAUCCCAUGGGGACCAACAUGGCCAGGGGAGGGCCAGAGCAGGGCCUCCUAAAUCACAGACCCCAGGGCAGGAGCUCCUCUGGUCUGAAUCUAAGGGUGGUAUUUUCAACAAUUACUAAAUUUUUAUCCUAGGCUCUCCAAAUGGGAGUCUAAAGGUCUCAAAACAUGGUCCAGAAGAAGUAUGUAAAAAUGUAAAUUCCUAGGCCCCAACCCAGACCUAUGAAUCAG